rnacentral:lncRNA from 12 species
GAGGCCAAGUCCAUCCCUAGAGGGCCUCGGGGUCCAAUGGAGAGGUUGAAAUCAAGAGGUUUAGAACAAUUGAGGCUUUUUUAAAAAAGAGUAAUAGUAGUUGUGUUUGGUUUUUUUUUGAGUGAUCUUAGUGUGCAGAAAACAGUGCAAAAAGCACACAGUUCCCGUGUCCCCCUCGCUCCCACCACUCUCUCCAGUUGCUAACAGAGGGCCCUGCCGUGGUGCAGCUGUUACAACCGACGGACCGAUGUUCGUGCGUUGCUGACGAGAACACGUGGUUUACUUCAGGGUCCCUCCCGGUGUCCCGCAUCCUAGAGGCCUGGACGACCGUCCGAUGUCGUGUGUCUACCGUGACCGCAUCCCGCAGCGUGCUCACGGCCUGCAGCUCCUCCGCCCGUCGGCACCCACCGAACCGCCACUGCCUUUCCCGGAGGGCCGGGUACUUGGAGUCACACGGUCGCAGCCCGGAGGACUUCCGAAAGGAGAGAUUUUAGGAGGACGGUGGAGGCGGUGGCCACAGAAGGGACUGGGACGGAGGGGCUGGAGGCCAAGAGACGGACGAGGAGCUUGUGGGACAAAGCAGGUGACAAGAGCCCUGGUGGGGGAGGCGCUGGAGCAGGGGUGCCUGCUGCGCGCUGUUAUCCGUGUCACGGUCCAGCCUGAGGUCUUCUGCGACGAUGAGGGGUUCGAGUCCCGGUGGAUGAUGUUGUAUAGCAGGGAACCAGAGGGCAACCCUGCAGCGCCAGAACUCUGCAGGCCCGGCCAGGUAACGAGCCACCUGGUGCCGGCUGCCUGUGGGGCUGCAGCGCGCCUUUCCCGCAUCCAUCGCUGCUCAGAGGUGUGAUCACUGCCCAUUUUUGCUCCAGCAAAGAGGCCCCGGGAGAGCAUGGCUGCAGGUGGAGACCCCACCCAAUUAAGCUUCGGCAAAUCCCCUGCAGUGCCCUGGGACCCUUAGGUCGCUGCGAAGCCCAAACCAGAUAGAAUUUCAAUCACUGUCUCUGUCUUUUUGAGGCUCGACGUUAAAGACGGUAUCUCUGAUUUCCACAGGGAUGUGGCAAUGCUUUGACACUUUUUGCAAGGAGAGGGAUCUUCGGAGACAUCCGCUUUGCUGGGUUUUACUGUGAGCUGGGAAGCCAGAGCCAAACCAGCCAAAUAGCCCAGAAAUUCCCCCAAGGCCCAGAGUCCUGAAUCCACAAGGCCCAUGUAUGAUGGAAGCUUUCAAAAAUAUGUUUUAUCCUGACUCCUGUAAACCAGGGUCCAGACCGGUGGGCCGUAGCCACUAGACCCUACUAACGGGUCCUUGGUCAUUAGAGCUCAGGAUUAGUGUCAGAUAAUCCCCCCAAAGUGUUGGUGCUUCGUUGCCCACUCCAUGGUUCCCCGUUAGGGCCACAGGUCGCUCGGGAGGCGGUUGGGCAGGUUUACAACGUUAACCUGUAGUGUCACUGACCUGCAGUGUUAACUCUGGGAACUUCCUCAAGAAUUCCAGGAACUCUGAGGCCUUCGGGGUGGAGGAAGCACCGUGACUCUCCACCCUGAGGAGUCAGGCCGGGUCUCUGCUUGUGGGGCUGGAAGUUUCUUCGGUCAUAUGGAUCAAGGAGGCUGGACUUUAGCACCAGUUUGUGUACUUAGGUCCUGGGACUCCUGUGAUCAGUGGAAGACUUCUGCAGGCCGGCCCCGUGAUCGCCACUUGGUCCUGCUGCACAUCUCAGGAAGACGUCCCCUGGCCCCUCAGGGUUCCCAUCACCCCCUCUGAAAUCAGAGAGCCCUUCUCAGGGCAGCAAACCUUAGGCUGUCCCAGCAGCCCCUGGGGAUGGAGAGGGUGGAUAUUCACUUCAUCUCUCUUCAAGGACACUGGUGAUAACCUUGACAACUCCUCUCAAGCAGGUAAAGGGACUGUGUCCACCUGGAGGUGAGGGGGGGGCAAGGGGUGGAGGAGGGGACGGGUGUUGUGGAUUCUUUUUUUUUUUUUAAGAUUUUAUUUAUUUAUUCAUGAGAGACACACAGAGAGAGGCAGAGAGAGGAAGAGGAAGAAGCAGGCUCCAUGCAGGGAGCCCGACAUGGGACUCGAUCCCGGAACCCCGGGAUCACGCCCUGCGCCGAAGGCAGGUGCUCAACCGCUGAGCCACCCAGGCAUCCCCGGAGCUGUGGAUUCUUUGCUCCACAUCAGUGCAAGGAACCUCGGAAAGCUUCCUUUCCUUUAUCUUGGGCUCGCACCGAGUCCACGUUCCGGUCCGUGGCUGAGCCAACAGCCCCACUCUCAGCUCACUCCCUGCGGGUCUCCCGAGUUUCGCUAAGUGCAGCUGUACUAAUAAAAUCAGCGCUAAUAUUCUCA